CAUAAUCAUUAGUCUUUUAAUUGAAGGCUGGAAUGAAUGGUUGGAUGAAAUAUUAACUGUUUCAUUUAAAAUUAUAGUAGAAUUUUAUUUUUUAGUUAAAAAGCUAAAAUGUUAUUAAAAGACGAGAAGACCCUAUAAAUCUUUAUAAUUUAUUUUUAUUAAUUGUUUAGAUAUUUUUAUUUAUUAAAAAUUAAAUUAUUUUAUUGGGGUGAUAUUAAAAUUUAAUGAACUUUUAAAAAUUUUUAUACAUAAAUUAAUGAAUUAUUGAUCCAUUAUUAAUGAUUAAAAAUUUAAGUUACUUUAGGGAUAACAGCGUAAUUUUUUUGGAGAGUUCAUAUCGAUAAAAAAGAUU
rnacentral:rRNA from 1 species